rnacentral:rRNA from 1 species
AUUGAACGCUGGCGGCAGGCCUAACACAUGCAAGUCGAGCGGAUGAAGGGAGCUUGCUCCCGGAUUCAGCGGCGGACGGGUGGGUAAUGCCUAGGAAUCUGCCUGGCAGUGGGGGAUAACGUCCGGAAACGGGCGCUAAUACCGCAUACGUCCUGAGGGAGAAAGGGGGGGAUCUUCGGACCUCACGCUCUCAGAUGACCCUAGGUCGGAUUAGCUAGUUGGUGGGGUAAAGGCCUACCAAGGCGACGAUCCGUAACUGGUCUGAGAGGAUGAUCAGUCACACUGGAACUGAGACACGGUCCAGCCGCCUACGGGAGGCAGCAGUGGGGAAUAUUGGACAAUGGGCGAAAGCCUGAUCCAGCCAUGCCGCGUGUGUGAAGAAGGUCUUCGGAUUGUAAAGCACAUUAAGUUGGGAGGAAGGGCAGUAAGUUAAUACCUUGCUGUUUUGACGUUACCAACAGAAUAAGCACCGGCUAACUUCGUG